rnacentral:rRNA from 1 species
CCAGGACCAAGGUCAGCAGCAGGCGCGAAAAUUAUCGAAGCCCGCCUAGGGGCGAUAGUGAGGAGACGUGUAUACGAAGUACGUGUAAAGACCGUACUAAUAACUGGAGGUCAAGUCUGGUGCCAGCAUCCGCGGUAAUUCCAGCUCCAGGGGUGUCUAUGAUGAUUGCUGCGAUUAAAAAGUCCGUAGUCGAGCUGACUGACUGACCUGCAAUGUGAUUGAUUAAAGAACGAGCAGGGUUAGGAAAGCAGAGGAUUAGGAGCGACCGAGGGCUAGAGUAUUGAAUGGCGAGAGGUGAAAUUUGAUGACCCAUUCAGGAGUGACAAAGGCGAAGGCACUAGUCAAGGGCGAAUCCGAUGAUCAAGGACGUAGGCUAGAGUUUCGAAAACGAUUAGAGACCGGAGUAGUUCUAGCAGUAAACUAUGCCGACGCCGUGGUAUUAAAUAUUAGUAUUGCGGAAGAGAAAUCAAGUAAGGCUUUGGGGAGAGUACGCGCGCAAGCGAUAAAUU